UACGUAGGGGGCAAGCGUUGUCCGGAUUUAUUGGGCGUAAAGAGCGUGUAGGCGGCCAGACAGGUCCGUUGUGAAAACUCGAGGCUCAACCUCGAGACGUCGAUGGAAACCAUCUGGCUAGAGUCCGGAAGAGGAGAGUGGAAUUCCUGGUGUAGCGGUGAAAUGCGCAGAUAUCAGGAAGAACACCUAUGGCGAAGGCAGCUCUCUGGUACGUGACUGACACUGAGACGCGAAAGCGUGGGAAGCGAACAGG
rnacentral:rRNA from 1 species